UACGUAGGGUGCAGGCGUUAAUCGGAAUUACUGGGCGUAAAGCGUGCGCAGGCGGCUCCUUAAGUCAGAUGUGAAAGCCCCGGGCUUAACCUGGGAACUGCGUUUGAAACUGGGGAGCUAGAGUGUAGAAGAGGGGGGUGGAAUUCCAGGUGUAGCAGUGAAAUGCGUAGAGAUCUGGAGGAACACCGAUGGCGAAGGCAGCCCCCUGGGCUAACACUGACGCUCAUGCACGAAAGCGUGGGGAGCAAACAGGA
rnacentral:rRNA from 1 species